rnacentral:ncRNA from 1 species
AAAGUCGAGCUAUGGUGCCAAAGUGCGCGCUAACCUAGAUCCCACAAAGGGUGUUGAUUGAUUAAGACAGCAGGACGGUGGUCAUGGAAGUCGAAAUCCGCUAAGGAGUGUGUAACAACUCACCUGCCGAAUCUACUAGCCCUGAAAAUGGAUGGCACUCAAGCGCGUUACCUAUGCUCGGCCGUCGUGGUAAUGGUGAUGCCUCGAUG